ensembl:snoRNA SNORA72 Small nucleolar RNA SNORA72
UCGUUCUUUUCAGCUGCUAGGCUUCUGGGCAGGCUAAACACUGACCGUGCUUCAUGGAUGUGUCCCCAGACCUAAUUGUUUCCCUAGGUAUGGUAUUAUAAACUCAGGUGAUGACC